AGUCACUGACAUUAGAUACCCGUGUAGUCCAGGGUGUAAACGCUGCAGACUUGGUGUUGGGAACCCUUCGGGGGUGCUCAGUGCCGGAGAGAAGUUGUUAAGUCUGCUACUUGGGAGUACGUCCGCAAGGAUGAAACUUAAAGGAAUUGGCGGGGGAGCACCGCAACGGGAGGAGCGUGCGGUUUAAUUGGAUUCAACACCGUAAAACUCACCAGGGAAGACUGUUACAUGAAGGCCGAGAUGAAGACUCUGCUAGAUUUUCAG
rnacentral:rRNA from 1 species